AUAAGCUAUUUCUUAGUAGUGACUCGCCAAGGGCCUUUUUUCUCUUCGAUUUCCCCCUUGUCUUCUUCUCCUCCUUCUCAUUCUGUGCACGCUCGCUUCACCCACUCGCUGCGCACUCUCUACGUCGCCUCGCUUCGUCCCGUUCGAACGCCCUGCCCUCCGGCUCUGCACCAUGGCCAUCUAUUCCUCCAUUGGUGCUGUUGGUUAAGAUUCUUUCUAGUCUGCUCCUCCGGUUCUUUCCUGCUGUUGUUUGUACGAUUUACUGAUCUCGUCUGUUUCCAUUUGCUCCCUUCGUGCGCAGCUUCCUUGACUUUCGCGUUGGCUCCUUCGUAGGAGCGUGGGUCGUUCCGUCCUUGCUGUCCAGCCUGCUCUGCUUCUCUAUGGGUGCAUGCCUGUUAGGUGUUUGAUGAAAUGCGCGAGGGUUGCUCGAUGAAUGAUGUCGUGUGUUUUCAUCUUGCGUUGGUUGUGCAUGGUUCGCGGUGUCGGUUUCCGCGGCUUGUAUGAGGAUACGAUGAUGCUGAUACUUUUGUAAAAUAGUGAUGUUUGAAGGCGAUGUGUCUUUUUGUUUUGCUUCUAUUUUGUUGCUUGUUUUGCUGUUUGCGUUGGAAUGGAUGAACACUUUUGUUUCCAUCGUUGCACCUGUUUUGGAAUACCAUUGCAGCACAGGCAGAGUGUGCUUUCAGUGGUCGUUGCUUUCUCCCGUGUUCUGAUCUCUUAUGUACUAAUGAUCUUUAUGGACUGAUUAUUUCACAAUGUCGUGUGAUCUUUUGUCUUUCGGUACAGUUGGUUUGUUUAUUAUAGAUCCUAUAUAGUUGCAUGCCGUUGUUCUAUACUGAUUAUUUCCCUUUCUAUUUUACAGGUUGUUCCAUCUUGCUGAUUUCGUGCAGAAUCUUCGUUUAGCUCGUUGCCGCGUUUCCAUUCUGCUCGUUGGACCUCGUCAAGGUUUGCUGUUGUGAUCCUUGCCUGUCUUGCUGCUCUGCUUUCUGUGUGUGCUUUCAUGUUCUAUAGCCUCCUAAUAGUUUUUGUCUCAUUCCGUCAUUUAAGCAUAAGUUCAGUUUCAUUUGCUCAAGUUGGAGCUGUGGUGUACCUCUGGAUGAGUAUACUACUGAGAGGGUUUAGAUUAGAGAACUAAACAAGCUGUGGGUCAGUGGCUAACCAAAUGCCACUGACCAUACAACUCUUUGUCACUUGGAUACUAGCAGCAAAUCAAAAUGAGCAGGGAGGAAACAACACUGGUUUUUAGUAGAUAUAUGUCUGUGAUUUACUUCCAAUGUUGUUCCUUGCAAAACUGUUCCUUGCAAUCCUGAAAUGGUUUCUCAAAAUAUGGGAAGAUUUACAUUCUAAAAAAUAUACGCACACUGAGUGAAGCAUAUAUAUAAUGCUAUUAUAACAUAGGUCAGGUAGAUGUAUAUAAUUUUCUAUACGCAAAUCAUUAUAGUAUGAUUUUAUUAGAACAAAGGCGGUACUACCACGACGUACAUUGUGGUUUGAGUUUUCAUCAAUGUCGCUCUUAUUAUUAUCUCUUUGUAGCUUCAUAUAACUUAGUGUUGACAUGGUCAUUUUACAGAAUGAGAGAAAAUGGUAGGUUGGCAGAAUCAUAACCUGUGAGUGCCUUAAGAAGUUUUUUUCAUUAUCUGUAAUAUAUUUUUUAGGGCCAGUUUAGAUGUGUAGUCGAAAAAUAUGAGGUACAACAGUGAAUAUUUUUCAUCGCCUUGGUGUUUAGUGUGUCUAUUGCAUAAUCCUUUUUUGCUUCUCUUUUCAAAGAAAGGACCAGGCUAGGAACAUAUGUUUAUAAUGAAGUUCUUUCAUUGCAGACUGCAUAGUAACUUCAAGUACUUAGUGGCGAUCCAUUAGCAGCAGACCUUGCCUAUGAGCUAAUGGUAGUCCAUGUAAAUGCCUUUAAUUCUUACACUUUAUCUUACACUUGAAUACUUGUCAGUGUUACUGCUAGCCUUUUACCUUUGUAAUACAUAGUAAGAAAUUUCUGAAGCUUUGUCUUCCCAUAUGUAUCUAAUUUGUUGUUGGCCAUUUAGAAAUAAUCAAUGAUUUCAGCAUGUGGGAGCUCAUGCUUAUGGGCAAGUUGUCUGGCUAAAUUUCUCUGUACAUACACCUUUAGAGAACUAGAAUUGUUUGAUACUGGUAGUGUAUGUCGAGCUGACUAAGAUACAUGCUUUUUUUCUCUACUUGGCAUCUGCUUCUCUUAAUUUUUCUAUAAUCCUUCCUUUACAUGUUGGUACGUUUUAUAGUCAGGUUCAGAUCGGCGAUACCCCUGCCAAUGGAUGAGUUACAUACUCGAUGAAGCUGAUCUUGGGCUCGGCCCUUCAACUCCAUCCCGCAACUGCUGGAAGUUUCCUAGCUAAGCAGCACUGAAAAACAAAGGAUUAAUGAAGCGGUGACAGGGUGGGCCACCUGAGGCGAUUGAUGUCAAGAUCCUGAGCAUGUGGAAUUUUGUUUGUCGAGUCUUGGCACCAGCAUUGUUAGCUGUUUUGUUAAUUUGUCCCCUGUUCAUGGGAGAUCCUUUAGGAGCUGUAGGCGCUAAACAACACUUAAGUUUCAUUCAUGCAACCACGAAGGUUUUGGGCCAUGACACUCUUGCUCUAAGAAAAGGUUCUUCACUCAAUUUUAUUCCAUAGGUUCUGGGAUAUCCUUUGAGUAAAUGAUAGCUUGCAAAAACGUCGUGCAUUGAGUGACGGAGGAGUAUUAAGGGAGAAACUUUAUCACCAAAUAAAGGCUUUGAUAUGAAAA